UACGGGGGGAGCAAGCGUUGUUCGGAUUUACUGGGCGUAAAGGGCGCGUAGGCGGCCAGCACAAGUCAGUUGUGAAAUCUCCGAGCUUAACUCGGAAAGGUCAACUGAUACUGUGCGGCUAGAGUGCAGAAGGGGCAACUGGAAUUCUUGGUGUAGCGGUGAAAUGCGUAGAUAUCAAGAGGAACACCUGCGGCGAAGGCGGGUUGCUGGGCUGACACUGAGGCACGAAAGCCAGGGGAGCAAACGGG
rnacentral:rRNA from 1 species